CAAAAGCAAAAUUGACUUUGACUGCAUAACAAGUUUGUGUGAGGGCUACACUGGUUCUCAUAUGUGAUUUGUUAUAAUCCCAGCUAAUUCUUCAAGGCACCAAGGCCAUUGUCCCAGUCAGACUCGCAGAGAAUUCUUGGCACAUCAACUAAGACUAGGGUUGCUGCAAAUGAGUACAGGAGGUCAAGCUCACAUUCACCUAGGUGGCCAGGUAGUCAGAUGACUAUCAGGUUCAAGCCAUAACUUAUACUCGUAGUAUCUCAAAUCUUGAAUCUUCAGUCGGAUAAUCAGGACCCUUGAAAUAUUGAUUUGUUUUUUCUUGAUAUCAGGCCAAGAGAAAUUGUAUUUUAAAUUAUUUUAAUGUUUUUCCUAUUCUGAAAUGCUCUAAGUAGAAUAUGUUGUUUUUAGGCGACUCAAAAUUGCAGAUUUGCUGUAGCAUAGAGCUCUUAGCGUGGUAUUAAUACCUAUCUUGCUUUUCUUUUGCUUUA